rnacentral:rRNA from 1 species
AUUGAACGCUGGCGGCAUGCUUUACACAUGCAAGUCGAACGGUAACAGGUUAAGCUGACGAGUGGCGAACGGGUGAGUAAUGCAUCGGAACGUGCCCGAUCGUGGGGGAUAACACUUCGAAAGAAGUGCUAAUACCGCAUACGAUCUGAGGAUGAAAGCGGGGGACCGUAAGGCCUCGCGCGAUCAGAGCGGCCGAUGUCAGAUUAGGUAGUUGGUGGGGUAAAGGCUCACCAAGCCGACGAUCUGUAGCUGGUCUGAGAGGACGACCAGCCACACUGGGACUGAGACACGGCCCAGACUCCUACGGGAGGCAGCAGUGGGGAAUUUUGGACAAUGGGCGCAAGCCUGAUCCAGCAAUGCCGCGUGCAGGAAGAAGGUCUUCGGGUUGUAAACUGCUUUUGUACGGAGCGAAAAGGCUCCCUCUAAUACAGGGGGCUCAUGACGGUACCGUAAGAAUAAGCACCGGCUAACUACGUGCCAGCAGCCGCUGUAA